rnacentral:rRNA from 1 species
AUGGGCAACGAUUUUUGGUCAUCAAUUUUGCGACUUAUAAACUAUUUUGAGCCACUAGCAUUUGUACUUAGAAGGGUGGAUGGAGAUGUUCCUGCUAUGGGUUACCUUUAUGGUGAUCUUGAAAAUGCAAGAAAGGAAAUUGCUGUCCGUUUUGAUGGAAAUGCAAAGAAAUAUGGUUUCAUUUGGGAUAUUAUAGACGAAAGGUGGAACGACAAACUCAAGACUCCAUUGCAUAAAGCUGGAUAUUACUUGAAUCCAUUCUUUUAUUAUGAGAACAAGGCAGAGUUGGAGGAAGAGGUUUUCGUCGCAGCAGUUGUACAGUGUGCAGGUCGCGUGUACCAUGAUAAUGACAAAUUACAAGACAUGAUUGUUGCCCAGCUAAAUAUGUACACUAAUGGCACUGAUUCUUUUGGCUCUACAAUGGCUAUUCGACAAAGGAAAACAAAUUGGUGGGCGGCACAUGGCACGGAUGCAAAGGAAUUAAGAAAGAUGGCUAUCAAGAUUCUAAAUUUGACGUGUAGCUCAUCUGCGUGUGAAAGGAAUUGGAGUGCAUUUGAGAGGGUCCAUACCAAGAAAAGGACGAGAUUAACACAGAAGAGAUUGAAUUCUGUUGUCUAUGUCAUGUUUAACAAGAGGCUUCAGUGGAAGUAUGCUCAAAGGAAGAGAGACCCAUUAGCUGUAAAGUUUGUUGAUGAUGAACCACCGAAUGAGUGGAUUGAAGGGGAGGCGACCGUUGAAGGGCAGCAGCAAGAAAAUAUUGUUGAAGAACAAGAUGGAGAAGGUGAAAAUGCAUCUGAUUAUGAUGGUGAACAAGAUGAACCGGCUCAGGCUGGCGUAAAUGAGAAGAAGAGAGCACUAAGCAAAGGUUCGUCGAGCAAGUCAAAGAGAGCCCGCACCAUGGAGGCUGAAGAAGAGUCUUCUGACUGUGACGAAGAUGAUACAGCCAUGCAGUUGAUGGACAAUUCUUCAAGUGAUGAUGGAGAGAAUGAGGACAAUUUACUUGAUGAUGACUAA